rnacentral:rRNA from 1 species
UGGCUCAGAACGAACGCUGGCGGCGCGUUUUAAGCAUGCAAGUCGAGCGGCAAGGGCCUUCGGGCCCCUAGAGCGGCGGACGGGUGAGUAACACGUGGACAAUCUGCCCCCCGGCCCGGGAUAGCCCAGGGAAACCUGGAUUAAUACCGGAUGAGACGGGACCCGCGAAGGCGGGACCCGGAAAGGCGCUGCGGCGCCGCCGGGGGAUGAGUCUGCGUCCCAUUAGCUAGACGGCGGGGUAACGGCCCACCGUGGCGACGAUGGGUAGCCGGCCUGAGAGGGUGGACGGCCACAUUGGAACUGAGACACGGUCCAGACUCCUACGGGAGGCAGCAGCUAAGAAUCUUCCGCAAUGGGCGAAAGCCUGACGGAAGCGACGCCGCGUGAACGAAGAAGGCCGUGAGGUUGUAAAGUUCUUUUCGGGAGGGGGAACAACCGUGGCAGGGAAUGGCCGCGGGAUGACGUGAAUCCCGGAAUAAGCCCCGGCUAACUACGUGCCAGCCGCCGC